AUUGAACGCUGGCGGCAGGCCUAACACAUGCAAGUCGAACGAGUGGAGGACGGGUGCGUAAUGUAUGGGACACUGCCUGGUGGAGGGGGAUCACUACCGGACACGAUAACUAAUACCGUAUACCAUCGGAUAGACCCAGAGGGGAGUAGCUAGGAGGUGGGGUCAAGGCUCACCUAGGCGCCGAUCUCUAGCUGGUCUGAGAGGAGGACCAGGCACACUGUAACUGAGACACGGUCCAGACUCCGACGGGAGGCAGCAGUGGGGAAUAUUGCACAAUGGGCGCAAGCCUGAUGCAGCCAUGCCGCGUGUAUGAAGAAGGCCUUCGGGUUGUAAAGUACUUGCAGCGGGGAGGCGUUACCCGCAGAAGAAGCACCGGCUAACUCCGUGCCAGCAGCCGCGGUAAUUC
rnacentral:rRNA from 1 species